rnacentral:rRNA from 1 species
UACGUUCCCGGGCCUUGUACACACCGCCCGUCAAGCCAUGGAAGUUGGGGGUACCUAAAGUACGUAACCGCAAGGAGGCAGCCGGCCACGGUAGGAUCAGCAACUGGGCCG